rnacentral:rRNA from 1 species
UACGGAGGGGGCUAGCGUUGUUCGGAAUUACUGGGCGUAAAGCGUGCGCAGGCGGUUCGACAAGUCCGAUGUGAAAGCCCCGGGCUCAACCUGGGAAUGGCAUUGGAAACUGGCGAGCUUGAGUGUGGCAGAGGGGGGUGGAAUUCCGCGUGUAGCAGUGAAAUGCGUAGAGAUGCGGAGGAACACCGAUGGCGAAGGCAGCCCCCUGGGCUGACACUGACGCUCAGGCACGAAAGCGUGGGGAGCAAACAGG